GAAGCUGACUGGAUGCAAUUGCUGCCAUCAGAAAAUAAGAGUGAGUGGGCUGAGGAGGCCAUCCUCCAUCCCAGCAGCUUCCCAGCUGGGAACACUGCUCAAAGGCAGAGCGAGGGUAUGAAGGUGCUAUUGCUUACGUGGUCCUAACAUUCACAAUCAUUUGAUUGCCAACAAUGACUGAACAUGCUUUGUUUAGUUUCUAUAAAUCAAGCAGAAUAUAUUAGCCAGGAAAUAGACCUCCCCUUGCAACCCCAAAGAACGGGGUUGUUCUUUUUCUUUUCAGAAUAAUCUGAACCCUGCUCCCCAGCUGGUGUAAAGCACCAGACGGCUCUGUUAGCACACCUCAGGCACAUCUGAGCUGUCACAAGUGAAAGGAGUUUAACAAGAUUAGGAAAAACAGUCAGAAAGGUUUUAAGGACCCUCCAUGCUGACAAAUAGUCUCAUUUAACACCACAUAAAUGGUCCUGUUGUGCUGGUUAAUUCCUGUUGCAUCUGUCAAGUAGUGCUUGCAGUAAAUUAAAUCUGUAUGUUAAUAGUAUAUGUGUGUGGCUGAUGGACAAGCAAAAACUGUCUGCAAAAAGUGGAUGUCUCCAUGUGCACCUGGACCUGGUGAAAAAAGGCUGGUUGCCUUUGUUACCAGUCUUGAUUCUGCCACCUGGAUAUUACAGCAACAUUUAAAAUGUGAGAUGCCAACAUGAGUGAAACAGGCAAGUGGCAUUUGAGAGUGCGGAGCCAAAAUUUAACUGUGUUUUGACAGAGAGGGACUCUUUCCUACCUUAAUUGAUAGAGGGGGCUGAACACAUGCAGAGAAAUACCUGUAUUUCCUAUCCGUGUGCUACAAGCAUCUUCAAGGGCAAAGAGAAGGUAGCAAGGAAGAAUGUGGAUUGCUGUAACCUGUUGUUACUUCGUGCCCCUACUUAUUGCACAGAUGAAGUCUGUCUGCAUGGUAGUCCUUGAGUUCACUGUGUGAAGUUGUCUGAAGGCUUAAUUAAUCUUAGAAUAAUAGAAUAAUUUAGGUUGGAAAAGACCCUGAAAAUCACCAAGUCCAAGUAUCAAGCUAACACU
rnacentral:lncRNA from 1 species